rnacentral:rRNA from 1 species
GAUGAACGCUAGCGGCAGGCUUAACACAUGCAAGUCGAGGGGUAACAGGAGUGCUUGCACUCGCUGACGACCGGCGCACGGGUGCGUAACGCGUAUACAAUCUACCUUAUGCUGAGGGAUAGCCCAGAGAAAUUUGGAUUAAUACCUCAUAGUAUCAUAAAGCUGCAUAGUUUAAUGAUUAAAGGUUACGGCAUAAGAUGAGUAUGCGUCCUAUUAGCUUGUUGGUAAGGUAACGGCUUACCAAGGCAACGAUAGGUAGGGGCCCUGAGAGGGGGAUCCCCCACACUGGUACUGAGACACGGACCAGACUCCUACGGGAGGCAGCAGUGAGGAAUAUUGGACAAUGGAGGCAACUCUGAUCCAGCCAUGCCGCGUGCAGGAUGACUGCCCUAUGGGUUGUAAACUGCUUUUAUACAGGAAGAAACCUUUUCUCGUGAGAAAAGCUGACGGUACUGUAAGAAUAAGGAUCGGCUAACUCCG